GAAAACCAGCAGUCACAGGGGGAUGUGGCAGUGCCUGAUGUGGCAGUAACAGAGCAACGCAGGGUCAAUUGGUGGAAAAGGGACCUGGAUGGACAAAGGUUAACUAGGAAGAAAAGGAAGAAAAAGGUAUCAUCUGCUGGUGCUUAUGCUGCUACUGAAGAUCCCUCUUCCAGCAAUGAAAUUCCCUCUUCUAGCACUUCAAUGUCUAACAAGUACCUGCAUGCUGACUUCACUUUACAGAGGCUGGAGGAAAUUUUACAGGAGGAAAGCAAUCUUGAUUGCCAACAGACACCAAUAUCAAUUUGGAGCAAAAGGCAGAGGGAAGUCCAGCAACGCUGGCAACAGUCAAGGCAGCAAAAUCUUGACAGCCUUCUGGCAGCCAAGAGCACCACAGACAGAUGUUGUAGUCACUGCCAGUCAGAAAAAGCAGUCAUCUGUUGCCGUGA